rnacentral:rRNA from 1 species
GAUGAACGCUGGCGGCGUGCCUAAUACAUGCAAGUCGAGCGACCAGAUGAGGAUCUUGCUCCACUGACGUUCGAGGCGGAAAGGUGAGUAACACGUGUAUACCAUACAUAUAAAACUGGGAUAAAUUCGGGAAACAGGCGCAAAUAUAGGCUAAUAUAUUGAACCGCAUGGUUACAUUGUGAAUGACGGUUUUGCUGUCACUUAUAGAUGGAUCCGCGACGCAUUAGCUAGUUGGUGAGGUAACGUCUUAACCAGGCAACGAUGCGUAGCCGAACUGAUAGGGGGAUCGGCCACACUAGAACGGAGACACGGUCCAGACUCCUACGGGAGGCAGCAGUAGGGAAACGUCCGCUAUGGGCGAAAGCCUGACGGAGCAACGCCACGUGGGGUGGAGAAGUCUUCGGAUCGUAAUACUCUGUUAUUAGUGUAGAACAAAUGUGUAAUUUACUAUGCACGUCUUGACGGUACCUAAGCAGAAAGCCACGGCUAACUACGUG